rnacentral:rRNA from 1 species
GUAGGGAAUAUUGCACAAUGGGCGAAAGCCUGAUGCAGCAACGCCGCGUGCGCGAUGAAGGCCUUCGGGUCGUAAAGCGCUUUUCGGGGAGAUGAGGAAGGACAGUAUCCCCGGAAUAAGGCUCGGCUAACUACGUGCCAGCAGCCGCGGUAAAACGUAGGAGCCUAGCGUUAUCCGAAUUUACUGGGCGUAAAGCGCGUGCAGGCGGUUCGGUAAGUUGGGUGUGAAAUCUCCUGGCUCAACUAGGAGAGGUCGCUCAAUACUGUCGAACUGGAGGAUGGUAGAGGGAGGUGGAAUUCCCGGUGUAGUGGUGAAAUGCGUAGAUAUCGGGAGGAAUACCAGUGGCGAAGGCGGCCUCCUGGGCCAUACCUGACGCUCAGACGCGAAAGCUAGGGGAGCGAACGGGAUUAGAAACCCCAGUAGUCC